ACCUGGGUGGCUCACUUGGUUGAGCAUCUGACUUUGACUCAGGUCAUGCAUGAUCACAGUUCGUGGGUUCGAGCCCCGCAUCCGGCU
rnacentral:tRNA from 1 species